AAUAAUAAUAAAAACCUGCACUUACUUUAAACAUGAGGAGACAACACACGAAAAUGAAGAAACUAAUCCUCACUCUCUCUCUCUUGUUCAACCCUCUGGUUUUUUCGAAAACAAACGAUUCACUCCUACAGAAAAACGCCAUCCAAUCGUCCCUUCCAAACACAACAAUAAUAAAACCCCAAAUUACAGAAACGAAACCCCUAAGAAAAAUCCAAAAUCGAAGACGAACACACGGUAUUCAUCAUUGGAAAACCAGCAUGUCCGAGCAUAACCAUCCUCGGUUCCAACAGAAUGAAACAAACCCCACAAUAAAACAAACAACAUAAACAAUUUCAAACCAAAAUCAACAACAUUCCUCAUGGAUCUACCAUAGUCUAUACUUAAAUCAAAACAUUUCAUGAAUAAACAACAAAAUCGUCAAAUCAUAUACGCAAUCGGCGACUACAUGGUGAUAUAAUGCCUUGUAAAGGUUGAACAAAGGGUGAAGGACGUCACCGGAACCUUCCGACUCGAGUAAGCACCUUUCGAUUUUGUGUGCGAGCUCUUCUCUUGUUUCCGCUUAGUUUUCGGCCUCUCCUUCUUCUUACUUCUGUGUUUGGUUUGUCAGGGUUUAACUCGGUUUGCUCAAAGUUCUGGUGAUGAACUUUGAGUAUCCCUUUGGUAUCUUUGAGCUUUGGUGUGUAGGUUGGGAUGCGAUUUCAGCAGAGUGACGGUAUUUUUUUUCUCUUUUUUAGUGAUUGGCGUGCUCCUUAUAUAGAGUGAAAACGGUUGCUCCAAAUCAUGAGCUGUCAAGGAUUCUCCAAAUCAUUUGGUUAGAAUGAAAUCUUUUUCAGAUUUGGUGGGGACCAAAGUUUUCGCAGGUGGAAAGAUAAGUCGGCUUCAUUCUUUAGACCCUAUGGAAAGCACGUAACCGCUCUCAAUGGCUUCCCUCUUUUUACCGUGGUUGGUAAUUUGGGACUUUUUGCUUGGGACUUUUGGGUUUUAUCUGGUAUGCGACUUACCGCAGGUUUUGCUGUAACCACUGAUGUGUUGCUGAGUACUGAUUAUCUCAUUCCCGUUGGUAAGCCUGUGUCACUAUCUGGAGGCAAUCCUCCAAGAAGAUUGGCAAAUGCUACAGGUUUUGGUUGCAUUUACUCUGCACAUGGUUUAGACCUUGCAACUGGUUUUUUAACAAGAUGAAAGGCAAGGGCCAGAUGCUUCCCACCACUACAGUUUGAUAUCUUGGAUAAAUUAUUGCCAAAAGCAUGGAAGACGCUAGUGUUGUCCUGUCACGGUUGGAGCGUGCUGAGUUUGGCUUCCAUAGCCCUUGUGUAAUGUUAUGGUCAAUGGAUUCUUGACAAAGCUGGAAGUCUUGCAAUUGUGCUGAAUGGCCUUUGGCUUUUUAGAAGAACCAGAACCUCUGCCGAAAGUUAUCACAGUACAUCAUCACUUCAAACUCCAUACUUAAUAGGCCCGCAUUAAAUCAAAGUGAUUAACUUUUAUUUGUGUGAGCUCUAAACUUUUGUAUUUCUUUUGAGCUUAUUCCCAAACUGUCAUAACUGGAUUAGAAACUUGAAUGUUACAUGUAACUUUUUUAUU